rnacentral:rRNA from 1 species
UACGAAGGGGGCUAGCGUUGCUCGGAAUCACUGGGCGUAAAGCGCACGUAGGCGGCUUCUUAAGUCAGGGGUGAAAUCCUGGAGCUCAACUCCAGAACUGCCUCUGAUACUGAGGAGCUCGAGUCCGGGAGAGGUGAGUGGAACUCCGGGUGUAGAGGUGAAAUUCGUAGAUAUUCGGAAGAACACCAGUGGCGAAGGCGGCUCACUGGCCCGGUACUGACGCUGAGGUGCGAAAGCGUGGGGAGCAAACAGG